rnacentral:rRNA from 1 species
CGUCCACACCAUGGGAGUCGGAAAUGCCCGAAGUCAGUGACCCAACCGUAAGGAGGGAGCUGCCGAAGGUGGAGCCGGUAACUGGGUGAAGUCGUAACAAGGUAUC